rnacentral:rRNA from 1 species
GGCCUUCGGGAACUCUGACACAGGUGCUGCAUGGCUGUCGUCGGCUCGUGUCGUGAGAUGUUGGGUUAAGUCCCGCAACGAGCGCAACCCCUAUUGUUAGUUGCCAUCAUUCAGUUGGGCACUCUAGCGAGACUGCCGGUAAUAAACCGGAGGAAGGUGGGGAUGACGUCAAAUCAUCAUGCCCCUUAUGACCUGGGCUACACACGUGCUACAAUGGUUGGUACAACGAGUUGCGAGUCGGUGACGGCGAGCUAAUCUCUUAAAGCCAAUCUCAGUUCGGAUUGUAGGCUGCAACUCGCCUACAUGAAGUCGGAAUCGCUAGUAAUCGCGGAUCAGCACGCCGCGGUGAAUACGUUCCCGGGCCUU